UCCCAGCUUCAAGACCAGCAAAAGCCAGCGAGUCUUUCUCACAGCACAUCUCUUUAGCCCUGAAUCUUCCGCCGCCCUCUUCCACAUCUAAGGGAAGUUGUGAUUACAUUGGGCCCGCGUGGAUAACCCAGCACUCAUCAGAGGCAUCCCAGAACAGGCGUCUGAAGCCGUUAUCACAAAGAAGAGUUUCAAACGUGAAGGCUUUGAUUUGCAAGAUGCGUGUGUUUGUUGACAGAAAAAAAGCUCCUGAGUCUGAAAGAGAGGCAUUGAUGGAAGCUCAGCACUGGCAGGAAGAGAGAAGGUAGAGCUGUCAUUGAAGGUGACAAGCUGGCUACGCAGAUAAUACCUGUGUUCUAUACGACCAUUUGGGGGACGUUACAGUCAAGAACACUGUUCUCACUUGCAUCUCCAAAAACUUAUUUUUUGAUAAUGCUCACAGUGACAAGUCAGGUUUAUGAAUAUGUGUUAAGCAAAUUAUAAGAGUUCGAAUAAAAAUAAAUAAGUAAAUAAAAAAGA
rnacentral:lncRNA from 1 species